rnacentral:lncRNA from 1 species
GUUUUGUUGUUGUUAAGUUAAUGGUGUUACUUGUUGUUUAGUGUAAUGUGUUAAUUUUGUUGUUUCCUUUUUUUUUGUUUUAGUUUUCCAUUUUGCAUGCUCUUAAUUUUAAAACACCGAGAGUUUGCUCAAAAUUGUUAAUGGUUUGCUUUGCUUUUUUUUCUUAUCUUUCCGAGUGAAAUUUUAAAUAUCGAAAUAUAUAUAUGUAUGUAUAUAUAGAUUUUUGUGUUUUUUCGCUAAUUUUUUUGUGGUUUAAUUUUUAGUUUUUUGCUUACCAUCGUUUAUUGUAAGUUUUUCUUUACGUUUCUGUUUUUUAUUCAUUUUCAUUUUGGUUUAAAAACACCGAAAGCUUAAAAUUUAGAGAUUUUCCUAAAGUGUAAAUUUUUUACAAUUUUUCUCAUCGUUCUCUGGCCUGCUGUUCUCUGCUUUUGUGGUUGUUUUUUCGUCUGUAGUGGUGAUGGUUUUGGUGUGUGUUUUGUGUCUCCGCGUUGCUAUUUCAGCGAACUCAACGAAGGAAGGUUAAACCGAACCGAAUCGAACCGAAGCGAUGAAGUAGAAAAACCAAAAGCAAAACUCAUAUUCCACAUUCUUGCCAAUCUUUCACUUUGUCUAUCGCUAUCGCUUUCCCUUUCCCUUUCUGUUUCAAUGUUCAAUUCAUAUCCAUUUCCGUUGCAGUAAACAAUAAUAAAAUGGUGAAAAUGGUGAAUAGAAAUCUUGUAGCUUAUAAAGCAUAAUGCUAAGCUCCUUCCGCUUCCGCUUCCGCCUCCGUGUCCUUUUCCGCAUCUCAUAUCCCUCCUCUCUGCACUCUUCUGUCUGCUCCCUCCCACGCUCCGUUCAAUAAAUAGGUUAAGGAAAAAACUGUAUCACAUUUUCAAUUACGUCUUUGUUCGUAGCACCGUCAUAAACAUACUCUUAUCCAUCCCCUUCCCAUUCCCUUAUAGCCUCACUAUCCUCACUCUCCUCACUCUCAUCCCCGCCCUGUCUAUAUACAGACUUCUGCACCCGCCCCUGGCCCUCACUUACCUACCAUACAGUUGGAGAAAAAAAUUGCGCUUCGGAUUUUAUCACAAAAAUAAUUACAACUCUCUGCGAAUGCACCUCAUUCCUCCAUUUCUCCAUCCUCAAUUCUCAUCCUCAUUCCUUCGUUCCCCGGACGUAACUCUCCAGCUUCUGGCUUAAACUAACAUUGCUUCAAAGUCCCAUGUUUUUCGUUUAUAUCUAAACCACGCAAUGCGUUCCAAAUUGGUUCCAUUAAUUCCGAUCCCUUCACACGAACUCUAACUCUCUACCAAUGCCCAUCCCUCUCUCAAUCCCUCGCCCUAAUGUGUUAAUCGACAAAAAUCCAAAAAAGAUGAAAACAAAUAACCAAUUCGUGGUCACCAAUUGGGGAAAUCACACCAUCCUUCAAGCUUUUCAGCAUUGUGUCUCUCUUUUUUUUAUACAGUUCUGUUCGAAAAUUUCUUUUGACUUGCUUUAUGAUUUUAUGGUGAUGUCGGAUGCUGCUCUGCUGCUGCUGCUGCUGCUGCUGCUGAUGAUGAUGUCAAAAAAUCAGUCUCUAUUGCAUUUUGUUCUAUUUUAUGUGGGCUUGCUCUAUUUCUGGUUUUCAGUAAAAGUGUUAAAUAUUUGUUUAAGAUUUGUUUCCAUUUUGAUUUUACGUUUUUCUUCGGGUCUUUUGUCUUUUGUCUUUUUUUGGUUUUGUUUUCUUGGUUUUUUUGUUUGUUUUUGGUUUUUGUUUUUGUUUUGUAGUACACCUUAGAAAAAUAUCACAUUCUUACUUCGUUCGUUCGAGAGACAUUUUAAUGUGUUUUUUUUUCUUUUUUCGCUAUUUUGUUUUGUAUGUUUUUUAAAGUUUUAUUUACACAUUAGGUUUCAUUUCAUUUCGCACGAGUAAAAUAUAUAAAAUUUAAAAAAUAUUUGAUUGAGGUCAUUUCAGAAUUAUUGCUAAGUAUUCUUUCUCCUCCCAAUAUUCCACUUUAAUCCUCCAUUUUCCAUUACCAUCAUCUUUCUGCGUGUCUGCUUUGCUCUCUAGUUUUUGCUUUAUGCCUUUAACCACUUGAAUUUGUUCUAAAAGUGUGUUUUGUUUUUUUUCGCUUAGUUUCCUUAGGUUUCGUAUAUUUUGUAGACACCAAAUUUUGUAUUUUAUGUAUAAAAAAAAAAACAAUGUUUGAAACAUUCUUCUUCUCUUGCCCUUUCUUGCAUCGAUCUCAAUCGAAUGACUCGCUUCCUUUCUUAGACUUAUGUAAACUUCUAUCAAUAUUUGAAGAGACACGACAGCUAAAGUUUAGAGCUUAGGUGAGAGAGACUUUUGAGAGAGUAAGAGACGUAAAUACAAUUACAUUUAUUAAAUUUUACUUUUAGUUACUUUUGCUUUGCUUUAGUUUAAUUUCGUUUUGGUUUUGUUUUGAUUUUUGUUUGGGGUUUCUUAAUUGGUUUUUGCUCACAACAUCAACAAUGAAAUAUUUUACUUUAUAGAUUUAUGUUUUUUUUAGUUUCGUUUUGUUUUGUUUUGAGGGACUUUUGUUUGGUAUUCUGUAAAAAUCUCAAAAAGACGCCUAACACCGAAAAAUAUAUUGCAUGUACUACAUUUUAUGUUAAUUAUGCUUACUUUUUGGGUUUCGCUCUUCUCCACUUCCAUCCGGCUUCAAUAUAAAUAUUUUUGUUACAUAUAAUGCUAUUUUCGAGAUGGUUUCCAUUGAAUGUAUUUACAUACAUGAGUUAGUUUCUGUUAACAAUUUAUUUUUUGAGUUUUAGACAAGUUAAAAUUUCCACUCUGGGCUUUCCCCAUUUAUCCUUUCAUACUUUUCCGAUUAAUAUAAUGGAGUUGUCGAAACAAAAUUACACUGAAAACAGAACUGGUUGACUUAAAAUCAUUUUUACUACAAUAUAGAACAUCAUUAUAUUGUUUAUGUCUUUUGGUUAGUUUUUGUUUU